CGCGGAGUGGAGCAGCUGGUAGCUCGCCAGGCUCAUAACCUGGAGGUCGGCGGUCCGAAUCCGUCCUCCGCUA
rnacentral:tRNA from 1 species